GAGCGCAGUCACUUCAAAACCAUUUGCGUUGGAACGUUCGCGCAUCCGAAAUGGAAUUGAACAUUUGAAAUUAACCGUCAGUAUGCCGAAUCAAGAGGAACUGGUAUUAUCAGAGAAAUCAAAUUCUACUGUCAUAAUAAUGAUCAAGGGUUAAAAGAUACCAGAAAUAAGAAAAAUCUGAAGAACAUAUAGCAUGGAAACCAAUUAUUACACAAUAUUUUGUCUGAUAUAAGGCAGCAAGUGCACGACCUUCCACUGGUUACCGGAUUAACCGGCACUCGAGUAGAGUCGGGAAGAAGGGAGAAGUCUUGAUCGUGAUCAGAGGACAAAAUGAAAGACGAGGAUUAGUCUGUGAUCAGCAAGAGUCGAAGAGUACUGUCUUCCUGAAACUGCUUACGGCCAAAAUGGCCGAGAGUAGGGAAUCUCGCGGGCCAUCUCCGUCAUAUACAAAUAACAACCGAAGCCAAGGCGGGGACGAUAAAAAUAAUAGCUGUAGAAGCACCGGAAUCCUAUUCUACAAAUUAAUUUCAGUCAAUCAUUUAUCAUUAUUAAAUUAUUCAGACGAUUAUUUCUUAUUAACGAGUUUCCUCCAGCUGCACAGAUACAUGUCAUGUCACAUAUAUUUAUAUCUUCACAAUUUGCAAAUUCUCCAAGUUCAUAGCUCCUGUUCUUAAAGUAACACAUAUUUGGUGAUCCAGCAUCUAGAUGAUCACAGUUGUAUUUGUAGGCGCAACAGUCUCCUUCGUUCUUGUACACAGGAGUGCAUCCCACGUCAUUGUAAUAUAUCAGCGGUCCUGGACACUGUACCUGAGAACAAUCUUCAAUUUCUUUCAGCGAGACUCGUUUCUUUUUAAUAUGCAAUCACAUUAGUGUCCUCAGUCGAAGCGAAGACAAAGAAACAGAAAAAUACUUGGAGCAGGAGGAAAGUUCUGCCACGUCCGUCCAUGAUUUGGCUGAUGUUCACAUUGAAGCUUGUGAAGCUGUGCCUGCAUCUUUUAUACGAACUUUUGGUGUGGUUCGAGAAGUGGAGAUGGAAUCUGCUAAAAGUGGAAAGAUAUCAGUGCUUCUCUUAUCCAGGAGGUGACCGAUAUCAUACGGACACUGGGAAUCUCACUGGAGACUUUAAGACUAUUGCGUUUUGACUAUGAGACAUAUUUUCCUUUUGCUCGUCUAAUGAAAUUUGAAUGCAAACAGUAGGUGCGCGUCGGUUAAAACUUUACGAUAAUUCUUAGGUUUAACAUACGGAUUGAGAGCAGUGGAUAACAUAUUUAUCGGUUGCAACUGCAACGAGUCACUCUGUAUUUGCAGCUACAUCUUAUAAUUUUAUCUUGACGCAAUCUCUUACGCAAACUCUCGGAGUUCCUGGUACAAAGAUGCGCAUACAGAACAGAGUAGUAGUACGUGAUUUCAUUGAUACAACUAACGAGAUUGCGUGGAGCUGACAGGUCGUCAACUCACUAGUAGUUAUUAGAGCGAAUGAAGUGUACUAUAUGAAAGAAGCUUGAAUGAAGUAGUAGAAAGUAUAUUUCUUUAUUGCUUAUGUUGUAAUAUUCUUCGACUUUAUAUAAAGUGUUACGAAGACGAUCUUUGGCUUUAAUAAACAUUAAUAUCAGUAGCUUAUAGUGAUGUUUGACUAACAAGCCUACUUCGAGUUCUUCUGCCCUUCUCGAAUUUCAAAUCGGAUUAAAGUAUUCUCGAUCAUAUAUUUCUCAAGAAUCAUUUACCACCUAGAGAAUGAUUUGUAACAUCGCAUUCAUUGUCAUCAAGACGUUGACACGUUGGUGUAGGUGGAAUUUCGCAAACGCAUUUAACGCAUACCGAACUAUAAUCUGUACCUUGAUUAAGCUCGUCCCCGACAUUCAUAGUCAGGUUACCGAAUGUGCAGGUCAUACCUUCUAGAAGGAAAAAAAAAAGAUAAUGAAUAAUUGGAUUCAACAAUUAAACUACCAGGGAUAUCCACCUGGCAUAAUCUAGUUGAACAAAUGGAAUUUACCUUUUUCACCAGAAGAGUCUCCCUCAGGGGAUGCGGAUUUACUUUUAUAUGAUAUUACGGGAAACUUACGACAUCGCCAAGCUACACUGCAACUGGUAGCAGGAUUUUGGGUAGCGUAAUACGUUGGAAUACAUCUCUCGGCAAUAUCUUCGUUAUGAUGCAAAUCUGUACCGCAUAUAGUGCUCGGAGUUAUGCA